rnacentral:snRNA from 1 species
UCUCAGAUGGGAGAUUAAG